rnacentral:rRNA from 1 species
AUGGGCAACGGCAAGGUGUACGCGACGAUCGUGCUCAUCAGGCUGAUCUACGCCGGCAUGCACAUAUUCACCAAGGCGGCGUUCGAGGAGGGCACCAGCACCACCGUCUUCGUCUUCUACCGGCACGCCGUCGCCGCCAUCUUCUUGGCGCCUUUCGCCUUCUUCCUCGAGAUCAGGCAGGGGUCGGCGCCACCGCUGACGUUCAGACUCUCCGUCAAGAUCUUUGCCCACGCCUUCUAUGGGAUGGCUGGAACGAUAAACCUGUAUAGCAUUGGCCUGAAUUAUGCUUCGGCAACCUCUUCGUCGGCCAUCUUCAACAUCGUCCCCGUGGUUGCAUUCAUCCUGGCCGUCAUGUUCAGGAUGGAGACUCUGAAGUUGAAGAGCGUCCACGGCAUGGCCAAGGCCUCGGGGAUACUUCUGUGCAUCGGAGGCGUGGUCGCGCUGGCGCUGUACCAAGGCCCCCAGCUCAAGUCCUUGAACCACCACCCGCUCCUGCACAGCACCGGCACGGCCGUGCACGCGCGCCCGGAGAAGAACUGGGCGCUCGGCAUCUUCCUCAUGACCGCGUCGGUCGUGAUAUGGGCCCUGUGGACAGUACAGCAGGGCCCCCUGUUGCUGGAGUACCCAUCCAAGCUUCUCAACACGACGCUCCAGUGCACCUUCGCCAGCGUCCAGUCGUUCGUCAUCGCCCUCGUCAUGGAGAGGGACUUCUCGCGGUGGAAGCUCGCCGGCGGCAUGAGCCUCUUCGCGGUGCUCUUCACGGGCAUUGUUGUGGCGGCGAUCUCGUACUACCUGCAGAUCUGGGUGAUCGAGAAGAAAGGCCCGGUGUUCCUGUCCAUGUCCAUGCCGCUCAGCCUCGUCUUCACCAUGGUGAUCGCCUCCUUCCUCCUGGGAGAAGACGUGGGCCUGGGAAGCAUUAUCGGUGGCGCGCUCCUCGUUGCCGGUCUCUAUGCCGUGCUCUGGGGCAAGGGGCGGGAGGAGCGAGGGGCGGCGGUGGAGGCCGCUCUGCCGCAGAGGGGGGCGGGGGAAUCAAAGGAGAGCGAGAUCGUCUCCGACGCGACGGCCAAAGUUUGA